UAGCUCAGUUAGUCAGAGCAUGGUGCUGAUGACACCAAGGUCAUGGGUAUAAUCCCAU
rnacentral:tRNA from 1 species